rnacentral:rRNA from 1 species
UACGUAGGGUGCAAGCGUUGUCCGGAAUUAUUGGGCGUAAAGAGCUCGUAGGCGGUCUGUCGCGUCGGAUGUGAAAAUCCAGGGCUCAACCCUGGACCUGCAUUCGAUACGGGCAGACUAGAGUUCGGUAGGGGAGACUGGAAUUCCUGGUGUAGCGGUGAAAUGCGCAGAUAUCAGGAGGAACACCGGUGGCGAAGGCAGCUCGCUGGGACGGUACUGACGCUGAGGCGCGAAAGCGUGGGGGAGCGAACAGG